rnacentral:rRNA from 1 species
UACAGAGGGUGCAAGCGUUAAUCGGAAUUAUUGGGCGUAAAGCGCGCGCAGGCGGUCCUUUAAGUCUGAUGUGAAAGCCCUCGGCUCAACCGAGGAGGGUCAUUGGAAACUGGAGGACUUGAGUGCAGAAGAGGAAAGUGGAAUUCCAAGUGUAGCGGUGAAAUGCGUAGAGAUUUGGAGGAACACCAGUGGCGAAGGCGACUUUCUGGUCUGUAACUGACGCUGAGGCGCGAAAGCGUGGGGAGCAAACAGG